ACUCCUACGGGAGGCAGCAGUAGGGAAUCUUCCACAAUGGGCGCAAGCCUGAUGGAGCAACACCGCGUGAGUGAAGAAGGGUUUCGGCUCGUAAAGCUCUGUUGUUAAAGAAGAACACGUAUGAGAGUAACUGUUCAUACGUUGACGGUAUUUAACCAGAAAGUCACGGCUAACUACGUGCCAGCAGCCGCGGUAAUACGUAGGUGGCAAGCGUUAUCCGGAUUUAUUGGGCGUAAAGAGAGUGCAGGCGGUUUUCUAAGUCUGAUGUGAAAGCCUUCGGCUUAACCGGAGAAGUGCAUCGGAAACUGGAUAACUUGAGUGCAGAAGAGGUAGUGGAACUCCAUGUGUAGCGGUGGAAUGCGUAGGAUAUAUGGAAGAACACCAGUGGCGAAGGCGGCUACCUGGUCUGCAACUGACGCUGAGACUCGAAAGCAUGGGUAGCGAACAGGAUUAGAUACCCCUGGUAGGAUAGCG
rnacentral:rRNA from 1 species